GAGUGAAAGAGAUCCUGAAACCGUGUGCCUACAAGUAGUCAAAGCCCGUUAAUGGGUAAUGGCGUGCCUUUUGUAGAAUGAACCGGCGAGUUACGAUCCCGUGCAAGGUUAAGUUGAAGAGACGGAGCCGCAGCGAAAGCGAGUCUGAAUAGGGCGAAAGAGUACGUGGUCGUAGACCCGAAACCAGGUGAUCUACCCAUGUCCAGGGUGAAGUUCAGGUAACACUGAAUGGAGGCCCGAACCCACGCACGUUGAAAAGUGCGGGGAUGAGGUGUGGGUAGCGGAGAAAUUCCAAUCGAACUUGGAGAUAGCUGGUUCUCUCCGAAAUAGCUUUAGGGCUAGCCUUGAAAUGAGAGUCUUGGAGGUAGAGCACUGAUUGGACUAGGGGCCCCCAUCGGGUUACCGAAUUCAGUCAAACUCCGAAUGCCAAAGACUUAUAUUCAGGAGUCAGACUGCGAGUGAUAAGAUCCGUAGUCAAGAGGGAAACAGCCCAGACCACCAGCUAAGGUCCCAAAGUAUACGUUAAGUGGAAAAGGAUGUGGAGUUGCUUAGACAACCAGGAUGUUGGCUUAGAAGCAGCCACCAUUUAAAGAGUGCGUAAUAGCUCACUGGUCGAGUGACUCUGCGCCGAAAAUGUACCGGGGCUAAACGUAUCACCGAAGCUGUGGAUUGUUCUUUCAGAACAAUGGUAGGAGAGCGUUCUAAGGGCUGUGAAGCUAGACCGUAAGGACUAGUGGAGCGCUUAGAAGUGAGAAUGCCGGUAUGAGUAGCGAAAGAUGGGUGAGAAUCCCAUCCACCGAAUGCCUAAGGUUUCCUGAGGAAGGCUCGUCCGCUCAGGGUUAGUCGGGACCUAAGCCGAGGCCGAAAGGCGUAGGCGAUGGACAACAGGUUGAUAUUCCUGUACCACCUCCUCACCAUUUGAGCAAUGGGGGGACGCAGAAGGAUAGGGUAAGCGCGCUGUUGGAUUAGCGCGUCCAAGCAGUUAGGCUGACAACGAGGCAAAUCCCGUUGUUAUCUAAGGCUGAGCUGUGAUGGCGAGGGAACUAUAGUACCGAAGUUCCUGAUUCCACACUGCCAAGAAAAGCCUCUAGCGAGGUGAGAGGUGCCCGUACCGCAAACCGACACAGGUAGGCGAGGAGAGAAUCCUAAGGUGAGCGAGAGAACUCUCGUUAAGGAACUCGGCAAAAUGACCCCGUAACUUCGGGAGAAGGGGUGCUUUUUCAAGGUUUAUCCUUGCGAAAAGCCGCAGUGAAUAGGCCCAGGCGACUGUUUAGCAAAAACACAGGUCUCUGCGAAGCCGCAAGGCGAAGUAUAGGGGCUGACGCCUGCCCGGUGCUGGAA
rnacentral:rRNA from 1 species